rnacentral:rRNA from 1 species
CCUACGGGAGUCAGCAGUGAGGAAUAUUGGUCAAUGGGCGCGAGCCUGAACCAGCCAAGUCGCGUGAGGGAAGACGGUCCUAUGGAUUGUCACCCUCUUUUGUCGGGGAGCAAAAGACGCCACGCGUGGCGUUCCGAGAGUCCCCGAAGAAAAAGCAUCGGCAAACUGCGGGCCAGCAGCCGCGGUAAUACGGAGGCGGCGAGCGUUCUCCGGAUUUAUUGGGGUAAAAGGGUGCGCAGGCGGUCGGUUAAGUCAGCGGGCAAAGCCCGGGGCUCAACCCCGGCUCGCCGUUGAAACUGGCAGUCUCGAGUUGGAGAGAAGGAUGCGGAAUGCGCGGUGUAGCGGUGAA